AGAGAACAAAGAGAGUAUAGAUGGCCAUUCUGAGCCACCAUUGGAAAGAUCUAGGUUGAGAGAAUGUUGAUUGGUGGGUGGCACCUUUAGACUCCAUGGAAUUUGAUGAUCCUUUAAUGGCUUCCUGAUCUGCUGCAGAUCUUGAGCCUUUCCCAUGUUGGAGGUGAAGCAAGGAGAGAAAAUUUGUGCGGGAGAGAGAUGAAAAGAUGUACACAGAGAGAGAGAGAGAGAGAGAGAGAGAAAGACAGAGUUAUAGACAAAUGCAUGAAUCGCAAACAUGAAUGUGGCAUGCAAUUUUUGCUGAUUAUGAGCGUCCAAUCACAGUGAUGGAGGCCCUUGUCAGCAAUUAACA